rnacentral:rRNA from 1 species
GACGAACGCUGGCGGCGUGCCUAAUACAUGCAAGUCGAACGAACCGCGACUAAGUGCUUGCACUAAGUCAAGGUGAGUGGCGAACGGGUGAGUAACACGUGGGUAACCUACCUCAUAGUGGGGGAUAACAGUCGGAAACGACUGCUAAUACCGCAUAGGACAUAGGAUCACAUGAUCCAGUGAGGAAAGGUGGCGCAAGCUAUCGCUAAGAGAUGGACCCGCGGUGCAUUAGCUAGUUGGUAGGGUAAAGGCCUACCAAGGCGAUGAUGCAUAGCCGACCUGAGAGGGUGAUCGGCCACAUUGGGACUGAGACACGGCCCAAACUCCUACGGGAGGCAGCAGUAGGGAAUCUUCCGCAAUGGACGCAAGUCUGACGGAGCAACGCCGCGUGAGUGAAGAAGGUCUUCGGAUCGUAAAGCUCUGUUGUUAGAGAAGAACAGCGCGUAGAGUAACUGCUAUGCGUGUGACGGUAUCUAACCAGAAAGCCACGGCUAACUACGUG